UACAGAGGUCUCGAGCGUUAGGCGGAAAUCACUGGGCUUAAAGCGCGUGUAGGCGGAUCGUUAAGUACCUUGUGAAAUCCCACGGCUUAACCGUGGAACUGCUGGGUAUACUGGCGGUCUCGAGUCCGGGAGAGGUGAGUGGAACUGCGAGUGUAGAGGUGAAAUUCGUAGAUAUUCGCAAGAACACCAGUGGCGAAGGCGGCUCACUGGCCCGGUACUGACGCUGGAGGUGCGAAAGCAUGGGGAGCGAACAGG
rnacentral:rRNA from 1 species